ACUCUAAGCGGUGGAUCACUCGGCUCAUGGGUCGAUGAAGAACGCAGCAAACUGUGCGUCAUCGUGUGAACUGCAGGACACAUGAACAUCGACAUUUUGAACGCAUAUCGCAGUCCAUGCUGUUAUGUACUUUAAUUAAUUUUAUAGUGCUGCUUGGACUACAUAUGGUUGAGGGUUGUAAGACUAUGCUAAUUAAGUUGCUUAUAAAUUUUUAUAAGCAUAUGGUAUAUUAUUGGAUAAAUAUAAUAAUUUUUAUUCAUAAUAUUAAAAAAUAAAUGAAAAACAUUAUCUCACAUUUGAAUGUGAAAAACGAAGAGAAAUAUUUUCUUUUUCAAUCAAAUAAUACUGAGAAAUGUCUAGCAUAAAAAAUUGAAAUAUUUUUCAUCUAGAAUUGUCUCUUAUUAAUGAUUCGGAAAUAGAAAAAUCUUGGUUAUGUUAUUAUUCUUCGUUGGUUCGUUAAAAAUGGAUAAAUAAAAACUUUGCAUACAAGAAUUAAUAAAAAUGUUAUAACGAAUUUAAUUAAAUGUUUUAUCAUUAUAUAUAAAGAAUUUAUGGCAAGAUAAAGUUAUAUACAACCUCAACUCAUAUGGGACUACCCCCUGAAUUUAAGCAUAUUAAUUAGGGGAGGAAAAGAAACUAACAAGGAUUUUCUUAGUAGCGGCGAGCGAAAAGAAAACAGUUCAGCACUAAGUCACUUUGUCUAUAUGGCAAAUGUGAGAUGCAGUGUAUGGAGCGUCAAUAUUCUAGUAUGAGAAAUUAACGAUUUAAGUCCUUCUUAAAUGAGGCCAUUUACCCAUAGAGGGUGCCAGGCCCGUAUAACGUUAAUGAUUACUAGAUGAUGUUUCCAAAGAGUCGUGUUGCUUGAUAGUGCAGCACUAAGUGGGUGGUAAACUCCAUCUAAAACUAAAUAUAACCAUGAGACCGAUAGUAAACAAGUACCGUGAGGGAAAGUUGAAAAGAACUCUGAAUAGAGAGUUAAACAGUACGUGAAACUGCUUAGAGGUUAAGCCCGAUGAACCUGAAUAUCCGUUAUGGAAAAUUCAUCAUUAAAAUUGUAAUAUUUAAAUAAUAUUAUGAGAAUAGUGUGCAUUUUUUCCAUAUAAGGACAUUGUAAUCUAUUAGCAUAUACCAAAUUUAUCAUAAAAUAUAACUUAUAGUUUAUUCCAAUUAAAUUGCUUGCAUUUUAACACAGAAUAAAUGUUAUUAAUUUGAUAAAGUGCUGAUAGAUUUAUAUGAUUACAGUGCGUUAAUUUUUCGGAAUUAUAUAAUGGCAUAAUUAUCAUUGAUUUUUGUGUUUAUUAUAUGCACUUGUAUGAUUAACAAUGCGAAAGAUUCAGGAUACCUUCGGGACCCGUCUUGAAACACGGACCAAGGAGUCUAACAUAUGUGCAAGUUAUUGGGAUAUAAACCUAAUAGCGUAAUUAACUUGACUAAUAAUGGGAUUAGUUUUUUAGCUAUUUAUAGCUAAUUAACACAAUCCCGGGGCGUUCUAUAUAGUUAUGUAUAAUGUAUAUUUAUAUUAUUUAUGCCUCUAACUGGAACGUACCUUGAGCAUAUAUGCUGUGACCCGAAAGAUGGUGAACUAUACUUGAUCAGGUUGAAGUCAGGGGAAACCCUGAUGGAAGACCGAAACAGUUCUGACGUGCAAAUCGAUUGUCAGAAUUGAGUAUAGGGGCGAAAGACCAAUCGAACCAUCUAGUAGCUGGUUCCUUCCGAAGUUUCCCUCAGGAUAGCUGGUGCAUUUUAAUAUUAUAUAAAAUAAUCUUAUCUGGUAAAGCGAAUGAUUAGAGGCCUUAGGGUCGAAACGAUCUUAACCUAUUCUCAAACUUUAAAUGGGUAAGAACCUUAACUUUCUUGAUAUGAAGUUCAAGGUUAUGAUAUAAUGUGCCCAGUGGGCCACUUUUGGUAAGCAGAACUGGCGCUGUGGGAUGAACCAAACGUAAUGUUACGGUGCCCAAAUUAACAACUCAUGCAGAUACCAUGAAAGGCGUUGGUUGCUUAAAACAGCAGGACGGUGAUCAUGGAAGUCGAAAUCCGCUAAGGAGUGUGUAACAACUCACCUGCCGAAGCAACUAGCCCUUAAAAUGGAUGGCGCUUAAGUUGUAUACCUAUACAUUACCGCUAAAGUAGAUGAUUUAUAUUACUUGUGAUAUAAAUUUUGAAACUUUAGUGAGUAGGAAGGUACAAUGGUAUGCGUAGAAGUGUUUGGCGUAAGCCUGCAUGGAGCUGCCAUUGGUACAGAUCUUGGUGGUAGUAGCAAAUAAUCGAAUGAGACCUUGGAGGACUGAAGUGGAGAAGGGUUUCGUGUGAACAGUGGUUGAUCACGAGUUAGUCGGUCCUAAGUUCAAGGCGAAAGCCGAAAAUUUUCAAGUAAAACAAAAAUGCCUAACUAUAUAAACAAAGCGAAUUAUAAUACACUUGAAUAAUUUUGAACGAAAGGGAAUACGGUUCCAAUUCCGUAACCUGUUGAGUAUCCGUUUGUUAUUAAAUAUGGGCCUCGUGCUCAUCCUGGCAACAGGAACGACCAUAAAGAAGCCGUCGAGAGAUAUCGGAAGAGUUUUCUUUUCUGUUUUAUAGCCGUACUACCAUGGAAGUCUUUCGCAGAGAGAUAUGGUAGAUGGGCUAGAAGAGCAUGACAUAUACUGUUGUGUCGAUAUUUUCUCCUCGGACCUUGAAAAUUUAUGGUGGGGACACGCAAACUUCUCAACAGGCCGUACCAAUAUCCGCAGCUGGUCUCCAAGGUGAAGAGUCUCUAGUCGAUAGAAUAAUGUAGGUAAGGGAAGUCGGCAAAUUAGAUCCGUAACUUCGGGAUAAGGAUUGGCUCUGAAGA
rnacentral:rRNA from 1 species